CCUCCUGGAAACGGGUGGUAAUGCCGGAUGUUCCAGUUGAUCGCAUGGUCUUCUGGGAAAGCUUUCGCGGUAUGGGAUGGGGUCGCGUCCUAUCAGCUUGACGGCGGGGUAACGGCCCACCGUGGCUUCGACGGGUAGCCGGCCUGAGAGGGCGACCGGCCACAUUGGGACUGAGAUACGGCCCAGACUCCUACGGGGGGCAGCAGUGGGGAAUAUUGCACAAUGGGCGCAAGCCUGAUGCAGCGACGCCGCGUGAGGGAUGGAGGCCUUCGGGUUGUAAACCUCUUUUAUCGGGGAGCAAGCGUAAGUGAGUUUACCCGUUGAAUAAGCACCGGCUAACUACGUGCCAGCAGCCGCGGUAAUACGUAGGGUGCAAGCGUUAUCCGGAAUUAUUGGGCGUAAAGGGCUCGUAGGCGGUUCGUCGCGUCCGGUGUGAAAGUCCAUCGCUUAACGGUGGAUCCGCGCCGGGUACGGGCGGGCUUGAGUGCGGUAGGGGAGACUGGAAUUCCCGGUGUAACGGUGGAAUGUGUAGAUAUCGGGAAGAACACC
rnacentral:rRNA from 1 species